rnacentral:lncRNA from 1 species
GGAGAGAUAAUGAAAGUUCUGGAAGAAGAUGCAGGCUGGAGCGAGGAUCCUGGAGAAGAAUGUGGAGCUCCAGAGUGACAAAAGCAAGAGAAGAGAUCAGAAAAUAAAGAAGUGGAGAAAAAAAAUCUCUGCCUUCCUAAGAUCGUCCUCUCCUAGACUCCUCUGGUGAUUCUCUGAGCGCCGAGAAAUUGUUGCCUCUCUCUAAGAGGCCUGCGUGGGCACGAGGUCAAGACGGGCCGUUUUCAGCUGUGUGGGUCUCCAAGAUUGCACUGCACUGUAUAUAAAUUAUGACCCAAAUACUCAGACUUGUUCUUUGGCUGGAUUACAUUUUGUCCCGGACAUCAGACACAUCCUACUGGAGCCACAGAAAGAAAAAGUGAAGAUCGAGACACUGUGACAAAUGGCAGCCACCUUCACCAGGGCAGCAACCCUCCUGAGCCUCCUGGAACAUCACGCCAAGGGCCCAGGCCUGGCAGCGCCCCCCACC